AUAGUCCAUAAUUCCCAAUUUCCCAGAAUCCCAAAUUCGCCCAAAUUCGCUGGUUUGAAAUUCCCAUUUUCCCUUCCUUUCCCUAAUUCCCUUCGUCUUCGUGACUCGUCAGUCUCAGAGUCUCCGCCUCCCGCCCUGCUGUUCCAGGAUCUCCGGCCUCCCACCCAGCGCCCCUCGCCCGCCCGCCCGCCCGCCGUUGCCGUUUCCGCCGCCGCCUAGGACUUCGCCCCGCAGCAGCCCAGAUUCGAGACGGCGAGACUUCGCGAGUCGUUCCCGUCGUUCCGCCGCCGCCUAAGACUUCGCCCCGCAGCAGCCGCACCGCCUCCGAGCUCCAACAGCCGCUGCUUCUUCUUCUU
rnacentral:lncRNA from 1 species